rnacentral:rRNA from 1 species
CUUAAGCAUAUCAAUAAGCGGAGGAAAAGAAACCAACCGGGAUUGCCCUAGUAACGGCGAGUGAAGCGGCAACAGCUCAAAUUUGAAAUCGGACCCCUUCGGGGCUCGAGUUGUAAUUUGCAGAAGAUGCUUCGGGUGUGGUCCCGGUCUAAGUCCCUUGGCACAGGACGUCAGAGAGGGUGAGAACCCCGUAUGUGACCGGCGGCCUAUGCCUCUGUGAAGCUCUUUCAACGAGUCGAGUUGUUUGGGAAUGCAGCUCCAAAUGGGUGGUAUAUUCCAUCUAAAGCUAAAUAUUGGCCAGAGACCGAUAGCGCACAAGUAGAGUGAUCGAAAGAUGAAAAGCACUUUGAAAAGAGAGUUAAAUAGUACGUGAAAUUGUUAAAAGGGAAGCUCUUGCUACCAGACGCGGGUACCGUCGAUCAUCCUAGGUUUUCCUGGGUGCACUCGGCGGUGCCCGGGUCAGCAUCGGUUCGGGUGGUGGGAUAAAGGCCCUGGGAAUGUAGCUCCUCUUCGGGGGAGUGUUAUAGCCCUCGACGCAAUGCCACCUACCGGGACCGAGGACCGCGCCUCGGCGAGGAUGCUGGCAUAAUGGUCGUAAGCGGCCCGUCUUGAAACACGGACCAAGGAGUCUAACAUCUAUGCGAGUGUUUGGGUGGUAAACCCAUUCGCGGAAUGAAAGUGAACGUAGCUGAGAACCCCUCGGGGCGCACCAGCGACCGAUCCUGAUGUCCUCGGACGGAUUUGAGUAGGAGCAUAGCUGUUGGGACCCGAAAGAUGGUGAACUAUGCUUGCAUAGGGUGAAGCCAGAGGAAACUCUGGUGGAGGCUCGCAGCGGUUCUGACGUGCAAAUCGAUCGUCAAAUGUGGGCAUAGGGGCGAAAGACUAAUCGAACCAUCUAGUAGCUGGUUCCUGCCGAAGUUUCCCUCAGGA